rnacentral:rRNA from 1 species
UACGUAGGCAGCAAGCGUUGUUCGGAAUUACUGGGCGUAAAGAGUGUGUAGGCGGUGCUCCCAGUCUGGUGUGAAAUCUCCCGGCUUAACUGGGAGGGUGCAUUAGAAACUGGAAUGCUAGAGGAUGGGAGAGGUAAGCGGAAUUCCUGGUGUAGCGGUGAAAUGCGUAGAUAUCAGGAGGAACACCUGUGGUGUAGACAGCUUACUGGACCAUUUCUGACGCUGAGACACGAAAGCGUGGGUAGCAAACAGG